UACGAAGGGUGCAAGCGUUGUUCGGAUUUAUUGGGCGUAAAGCGCAUGUAGGCGGUUUAUCAAGUCAGGUGUGAAAUCUUGGGGCUUAACCCCGAAACUGCGCCUGAAACUAAUGAACUAGAAUGUCAGAGAGGAAAGCGGAAUUUCGCAUGUAGGGGUAAAAUCCGUAGAGAUGCGAAGGAACAUCAGAGGCGAAGGCGGCUUUCUGGAUGACUAUUGACGCUGAGGUGCGAAAGCGUGGGGAGCAAACAGG
rnacentral:rRNA from 1 species